UACGUAGGAUGCAAGCGUUGUCCGGAAUUAUUGGGCGUAAAGAGCGCGCAGGCGGUCUAUCAAGUCAGAUGUGAAAUAUCCCGGCUUAACCGGGAGGGGUCAUUUGAAACUGGUAGACUAGAGUACAGCAGAGGAUAGCGGAAUUCCCGGUGUAGUGGUGAAAUGCGUAGAUAUCGGGAGGAACACCAGUGGCGAAGGCGGCUAUCUGGGCUGAAACUGACGCUGAGGCGCAAAGGCUAGGGGAGCAAACAGG
rnacentral:rRNA from 1 species